rnacentral:misc_RNA from 1 species
CAGCAAAAAAUAUCUCAUUGACCCGUCACUCUUUUCCUCAGCUUUGCACCACACAAAUUUUAUUCCCUAUUCACUUCUUUCUCUGUCUGUGUUCCUGUCUGUGUCCAUGUUCACAUGAGCCUAUGCGUGUGUAUUCCAUCCGCAGUGUGCAAGGUUGGGAUCAGUCGUACUAUGAAACUACUGUUAUUAUUUUUUCUGUUAAUCCCUCACUUGAUCAUUACUACUCCUGGUAAGUUGAUUUCUGAGCAAGACCUCGAUCUCUAUUGAUCACUCUUGUGGCUGCUAAUGUUCUCAGUAAAACAUGGUUACCUGCAGCUGAACUGUUGCCGGUCCAGGCAUCAGCAGCAGGGGAAUUCCAGCCUGUGGAGCCGACUGAGUACCGGUUAAUCGCGGCAACAGUGCGAGGACGAAGGCUGGCACCCUUCCAGCUGUGCUUGUUGUGCAAGUGCUGUGCUGCGGCUGCUGCCACUACCUGUGCCACCAUGCCUUGCUGCUUUGGCAUCGAUUGCCAGCUUCCUAAUAAGCCUUAUGGGGUUUGUGCUUUUGUACCCAAGACUUGUAACUGUACCUCUUGUGCUUCCUAAUCUUUUUUUUUUUUUUUUUUUUU